rnacentral:rRNA from 1 species
UACGUAGGGGGGCAAGCGUUGUCCGGAAUUACUGGGCGUAAAGCGUGCGCAGGCGGUUAUGUAAGACAGAUGUGAAAUGCCCGGGCUUAACCCUGGGAACUGCAUUUGUGACUGCAUGGCUAGAGUUUGGCAGAGGGGGGGUGAGAAGUUCCUACGUGUAGCAGUGAAAUGACGUAGAUAUGUGGGAGGAACACCGGAAUGGCGCAAGGCA